GGGGUGUUCUUCUAAUGGCAGGAAGCCGGGUUCUCACCCCGAAAGCGCCGGUUCGGUUCCGAUCUGGCCAGCUGUGCUGUCCAGCUCGGAACCGGUGUCUCGCGCAUACGCGCUCGACGGCGAUUCCGGCACACCCUUCCA
rnacentral:tRNA from 1 species